UACGUAGGGUGCGAGCGUUGUCCGGAAUUAUUGGGCGUAAAGGGCUCGUAGGCGGUUUGUCGCGUCGGGAGUGAAAACCUUGGGCUUAACUCAGGGCUUGCUUUCGAUACGGGCAGACUAGAGGUAUGCAGGGGAGAACGGAAUUCCUGGUGUAGCGGUGAAAUGCGCAGAUAUCAGGAGGAACACCGGUGGCGAAGGCGGUUCUCUGGGCAUUACCUGACGCUGAGGAGCGAAAGCAUGGGGAGCGAACAGG
rnacentral:rRNA from 1 species